rfam:Medicago truncatula strain A17 chromosome 2, whole genome shotgun sequence.
UUAUAAGCAAAAAACUACUUUUUAGAUUCAUUGAAUGAGUGAUGUAUGUGGUCAUCAAUAUAGACCACAUACAUCAUUUAUUCAAUGAACCUAAAAAAUAGUAUUUUGCUUAUAA